UCUUCAAAACUAGAUUUCUUUGUUUUUGAAAUGUAAGAAGAUGGGCAUAGACAGGUUCUUUUUAAUAGAAAUUAGGUUUGGGUUUGUUUUGCUCAAGAAAAGUAUGUUUAGUGAUGUCCUUUUCCUGCUUUUAGUUUUUCUCUCUGUGUAUCUUCUGCUGGAAAGCUUUUAUUUUAUUGAUUUUUUGUUUUGAUUUUUGUGCCCUCAGACUUCAUAUAUUCCCUUUUUUGGCUUAGUUCUUCUGCAGGUUCCAUUUGUUUAGGAUUACGUUCUUUUGAAGCUCAGCCUGCAUACAUCGUUUGCUAGCCGACCACAGUGAGGGAAACUGUCGAUGUUCACCAGUUGUUAUGUUUCUGGUACUUCUUGCUUCUGCAUUACCCUCACUCAGCACACAGAUCCUGGAGUGUGUUUACAAAAUACUAAAGACCUGCUUGUCCUUUUGCUUUAUGUGAUAGGUUUCCUACCAACAUCCUGUCUGGUAUUGGGCAAGUCACUGGCUUCUUUGCCUCAGUUAUAUCCAUAAAAUGACUAUAGAUGAUUCUCUAGAUUUUUUUCAGCUUUGAAUUUGGAAUUUUGCAUGUGAAAAAUACUCCACACUGUCGUUAUAGAAAUACUCUGGUAUGUCAAGACACUGGAGAGACCAGUAAUAAGCAUAUAAUAUAGAGACUGAUCAUGAGAAGACCAAAGAUUUUUUGAAUGAACAAAUGAAUGAACGAGAUUUCCAUUCUGAAAAAUGAUAUGCUCUAGAAUGAGAUAUUUGAUGAGUUAAUGUUAUAGGUUGAGUUGUGUCUGAAUCCACGCCUGCCCCCUCCAAAACAGAUGUAUAUUGAAGUCCUAAACUCCACUACUUCAGAAUGUGAACUUAUUUGGGAAUAGGGUUAUUGUAGAUGAUGUAACUAGUUAAAAUGAGGUCAUACUUGAGUAGGGUGAGCUCCUAAUCUAAUAUGACUGAUGUUCUUAUGAGAAGAUGGCCAUGUGAGACAGAUACACACAGGAAGAAUGCUAUGUGACAACUGAGUUUUGAGUGAUGUAUCUACAAGCCAAGGGACACCAAAGAUUGCCAGCAAACCACCAAGAAGAAAGGAAGAAUUCCCCUACAAGUUUCAUAGGGCAUGGCUUUGUGGACAUCUUGAUUUUGGACUUCUUGCCUCCAGAACUGUGAGACAAUAAACCUCUGUUGUUUUAAGCCACCAAGUUUGUGGUACUUUGUUAUGGCAGCCCUGGGAAAGUAAUAUGGACAGGUAAAUGUUUUAGUUAAAUUUUGAAGAGAUUGUCAUGACAGCUGCAAACCCACAUGCUUUUUAAAAGAACUUUUUUAUUUUUAAAUAUAGAUUCACAGGAAUUUGGAAAAAACAAAACAAAAAAACAAGAACAGUGCUGAGAGGUCCUCUGUGUCCUUCACCCAUUUUCUCCAGAUGGUAACAUCUUGCAUAAAUAUGGUACAAUAUUAAAACCAGGAAAUUGACAUUGGUACAUUCAAAGACCUUAAUCCGAAUUCACCAGUUUUACAUGCAGUUAAUGUUUUUUUAGUAACAGAGAGCAGAGAUGCUUUCAAGCUAAGUGAGAUGAGGAGUGUUUUAAGGAAUUUUCCAGAGGACUUGCCCAUUAAUCCAGUGCUCAGCAGAAAGAUGGCAGCCACAUUCCAAGUGAUUACUUUCUUCCUGUUGGAAAUGGUGUCUCUUAGUUGAGGUUCCCAAGAGAGGAAUCUAAACAGAUCAGGUGUCAUGGGUCACUGACCAGCCUGUGCAUGAAUUCCUUGAGAAGAGAGUUGUCUUGGCCAAAUGGGCUGUGGUCAGGGGUGUUGGUUCCCUUUGGCUAACUCAGUGCAGGUGUGUGGGUUGAAGUGGGUUCUGUGAAUGAGGUGUUUGUGGGGCAGAUACGCUGAGUUAAAUCAAAUACAUUAAGAAUUACACAAUUUCUGUGUACGAGUUUAUUAAGCUGAGUGAUUAUAGUGCUCUGUGCCCUCUUAUCCAUUACUCCCUCUUAUUUUAUUUCCUUUAGCUAUAACUUUUCUAUUUCAUGUCAGUGACCAUGUAUAUUUAGCUUUGAAGCCGAGACAGUGGAUUUACCCUUUGCACAUGGACUUGUGUGAAAAACAUGGAUUGUUCUCUGAGCAAUGAUGAUACAGAAAGAAAUGUUUACAUAAUUUAGGAAUAUAUUGAAUGCUCUUCUUGAACUAUUCAUAAUUAUAUUUUUGGGGGUGGGGCGGGGGGCGGGAAGGCAGUAACCAUGUAACAAAAGAGAUGUGGCUUUUCUCACUUGACUGAGUUUUAUUUAUUUUAUAAAGAAAUUGAUUUCUUCUUAUCUUUUCUUAACAAAGUUCUGUUCUUUACAAAGACAUGCUAAAAAAAAAAAAA